rnacentral:rRNA from 1 species
GAUGAACGCUGGCGGCGUGCCUAAUACAUGCAAGUCGAGCGAACAGACGAGGAGCUUGCUCCUCUGACGUUAGCGGCGGACGGGUGAGUAACACGUGGAUAACCUACCUAUAAGACUGGGAUAACUUCGGGAAACCGGAGCUAAUACCGGAUAAUAUAUUGAACCGCAUGGUUCACUAGUGAAAGACGGUUUUGCUGUCACUUAUAGAUGGAUCCGCGCCGCAUUAGCUAGUUGGUAAGGUAACGGCUUACCAAGGCAACGAUGCGUAGCCGACCUGAGAGGGUGAUCGGCCACACUGGAACUGAGACACGGUCCAGACUCCUACGAGAGGCAGCAGUAGGGAAUCUUCCGCAAUGGGCGAAAGCCUGACGGAGCAACGCCGCGUGAGUGAUGAAGGUCUUCGGAUCGUAAAACUCUGUUAUUAGGGAAGAACAAAUGUGUAAGUAACUAUGCACGUCUUGACGGUACCUAAUCAGAAAGCCACGGCUAACUACGUG